rnacentral:piRNA from 1 species
GACAAGAUGGGGACGCUGAAUAGCAGUUA